CUGUGUGUGUUUCUACCCUUAGACUCUUAGCUGAAGAAGUGUCUUUAGAGUAAAUCUCUUGACAUUUAUUUUGGUCCUUCGUAGCCGGGGCAGAAACAUCAGAACUGUUAUCUGUGACUCUGUUCCAGGAUCUGGCAUACUGUUUCCUGACGCCGUGGAGCCAGCACCGAAGUCUGUGCACAGCCCUCUUAGACGAGGCCGAAAGCCCUGGAACGUGUGAAUUCGGGUCCAGGCCGGUGUUUUUAGUCUGGUCCACGGCGGCGGGAUUCAGUCUGACGAUCCGAAUCACCAGUGAGACGUCUGAGAGGUGAGAAACACUACUUUGGUUAGGAAUCGCCAUAAUGAACCGACAAAUAAAAUAGGUUAGGAAUCGCCUUAAUGAACCGACAAAUAAAAUAGGUUAGGAAUCGCCAUAAGGAACCGAAUUAGUAAAAGCGCGCAAAUGUCUAUGUGUGUGUAUGUGUCUGGAAGUAAGUUGAUUUUACAGCACAAUACGCUGCUGAACUACUUCUAUUUUAUUUGUUUUCUUUGCUGAGGCUCACGUACUGGUGACAAAUGAGAACGGUUGAGUUUUAUCUCGUAAAACUGAUACCGCUUCAUUUUUUAGAAGUGAAGUAGAAGGGCGUAUCAGCAACCACUCUGAAGUCAAGCGUGCCAGUGACAGCCCAGCAAAAUCUUUGACAAUGGGGAAUAAACAAGCAAAAUUAACACCUGAUGAGGAAUGUUUAGAAAAACAACAAACCGGAGCAGGUAGAAUAAGUGCAAAUAGGUGGAGAAAUCCACAAAAAGCUAAAAACCACAGCUGGGAAGGGAAAUGCAAUCCCUCAGCUGUUACCCAGUUGAAAGCUGUCCUGAAACAAGAAAUUACAUUAACAAAAGACCCAAAGAAGAAAUUAAAACGUGAAGAAGAAUAUAAACUUUUCCAAGCAUGGGAAACUGAAGCUGAAAGGAGAACUGAAAAUAAGAAAAAGAAAGAGGAAAAUAAAAAUCUAUUUAAAUGCACUUUCAUUGAAGGAUUACUACCACCCAUUAGGUCUCAUGUAGAAAAGAAUUGGGUAACGCAAGAUACGGGCACAGCAGAUGAGGCGUUUCAAUAUGCUAACCAUGCACAGACAGUGGUGAAAAAGAAAGAGAAGGUCUCAGUUUUUGCCCUCGACGCUGACACUGUUCUCACAGCUUUCAGUGGAGGCUACAGGGGAGGUUUCAGAGGCCAAAAGAGAGGGAGAGGAAUGCGUAGGGCAGGAGCAGGGGGUAGAGACAGGUUUAGACACACACCAAACAGUGACUUUAGUACUACAUGCUGGAGGUGUGGAAAAGAGGGACAUUUUGUACGUGACUGUAAGAAACAAAGAAGCAGUUCAGACUAGGAAGAAUAUAAUAAUCCCUCGUCAAGUAAAAAAUUAGAGAUCCAAGUAUAAGUUUAAAAAGGGCUGGAAACAGACCCAACUGAAUACAUAUAAAUGCAAGAGGAAUAAAGUUAAAUAAAACAACUGUAAUGUCUCAAAUUGAUAAAAGCAAGGAUAACAACCUGUAAACUGGUAUUAACAAUGAAACAUAGGAUGAAGACCAUG